UACGAGGGGGGCAAAUGUUGUUCGGAAUCACUGGGCGUAAAGGGAGCGUAGGCGGGCUUCUAAGUUAGAUGUUUAAUCCCGGGGCCCAACCCCGGACAGGCACCUAAAACUGGAAGUCUUGAAUAGUGGAGAGGACGGCGGAAUUGGGGGUGUAGCGGUGGAAUGCGUAGAGAUACCCAAGAACACCAGUUGCGAAGGCGGCCGUCUGGACACAUAUUGACGCUGAGGCUCGAAAGCAUGGGGAGCAAACAGG
rnacentral:rRNA from 1 species